AACGCACAUUGCGCCCCCUGGCAUUCCGGGGGGCAUGCCUGUCCGAGCGUCAUUUCUGCCCUCAAGCACGGCUUGUGUGUUGGGUGUGGUCCCCCCGGGGACCUGCCCCAAAGGCAGCGGCGACGCCCGUCGGGUCCUCGAGCGCAUGGGGCUUUGUCACUCGCUCGGGAGGGACCUGCGGGGGUUGGUCACCACUCUUUCUAUUUUUUAAGGUUGACCUCGGAUCAGGUAGGAGUUACCCGCUGAACUUAA
rnacentral:misc_RNA from 1 species